ACCUAAGUGAAGAAAAAAAGACAAGCAAGGUUGGAAGUUUAGUUAUGUUCAAUGCCAUAUAUAUUGAAUGGCUGAAGAUAAAUGCCCUAUCCCAAUAAGGUAUUUUUCAGCCACAUAACUGAGUCAAUAGGCCAAACUCUGUACUGAUUUACACUCUGUUCAAUCUUAUUGAGUUCAAAGGGUUUGCACAAAGAAAAGCCAAUGCAGAAUUUGGCAGAAAAUAUUCAAUACAAUGCCACAAAACUUAGAUCUUGGAUGAAAUGCGUUACCAUCCAUUUAAUUAUGAAGGACAGUUCAGAAAAAUGAGCAAUCUUUAUACUGGCUGAUGACAAUUACAAGGCCUGUUCAAACUCAGCAACAAGUAUAUCUUGAACUGAUAAAUGCUUCAGACAGUACAGUCAGCCUAUGAAAUGCAUUUUCACAGGAAGCUGGACUUGUAGCUGUAUUUUGAAAAAAGGAAAGAAUUCCUGACAUUAGGAACAGCUAUGCAAUCAAGUCACAUGCUUCAGAGUACAAAGCGAGCAACAAAAGCAUCAGAAAGGAAUCCCUCUUCCCAAAUACAGCAUUGCGUAUUACAAGAAUUUGGCCUACCUCUACAGCAACAGUAUUAGACUUGACUGUGUAUGUCAAGUCCUUUGAUCUUAAACACCAUACUAGGUCUUAUACAAGCUAGUAAACACAGUAGUUAUGCAUAUGCAAUACCACCACAUUAGCAUUUCUGAAAUCCACAGACAACUGCAAAUGCAGCAUUAAGGUUUCUAAUGGAAACUGCUUUGAAAUUAAGCAGCAGUGUCAACUGAACCCAUUAAUACUUUUUCAGUGAGACAUGCAUAAUUCUUUAUUAGAUUUGUAACUAAAGUUAAAAAUCUGCUUGAUAUGAGUGAAGUUCAUCAACCAUAUCUUCUUACACUGAAAGUGUUUCAGAACAGUGGGUUUUCAAUGCCCACCCUGACAGAGAAUUGAGCGUGUGGACAUUUAAUAGGUCAAAUACUACUAACCUUUCAGAAGUUACAAAAAGCAGGAGAAAGGGGAUAAAUGCUCUUCCUGAUAACAUACCGUGAACAGUACAAUUACAAUUCCUCUACAGAGACACUUCUGUUCCCUAAGUCUUGGUCUUUAGAGGACAGACCUUAUUAACAAAUAAAUUGCAGGAGAUCAGCUGCAUUAUAUUUAAAAAAGUGAAUGAAUAUUGCACACAAGGUACACAGCAACUAGCUGGUAGCUCACAUCGCAGUGGACGUAACUGGUGUUGCUCUAUCCCUUCCCAGUGAUCCAUGAAAAGCCAAUGGUUCACUGAUAUUGUGACAACAUGGUGAGUGGCUUACUUCAGUCAUUUGCAUGUUACUAUAAUGUUAAACUAUCAUCAUAGAUCAAAAGUAAUGGUACAUUCAUUUGCACAAAAAAAUUCAAUUCAAGUGACACCUUACUUGCCCACAACAGAACCGCAGAAAUAAUCUGCUGCGCAUUGACUUAUACAACUUGAUUACAUAGGACUGCUGAUGAGGCAGUUAGUAUCAUUAUGAUAAAGCCAUGCUAACCAAAAAGCAAUCAUUCAGCAGGUAAACUGAAAAGACAGCUAGAAGAUGCAAGUAAUUUAAUUUACUAAUGUGACAUAUAUUGCAGGUUUGAUUUGAACAUGCAUUCUCACAGAAGAAAAAAAAAAUUACAGUUCUUUAAAGGGACACAUUUGACUAACCACAUUUCCACCUAAGUGUUCUUACCAUUAUAACUCAUAAUCACUAUAAAAGAUUCAAGCAGAAAGUAUUUCGGUUCUUUAGUUUGUUCAUUUGAGUGUACUUUUUGUACUGCCAGUUUCAUUGUUUUGUGGAAGGAAUAAAAUAAAGCCUUCCCCAGGCUCUUCAAGAAUAUGCUUUACCUGUAUUAGCAACUCUGACAAUGAAAUCAAAGGAAGAAAUAGAGAAAACAUGCACGAGAGGAAGAAGGGGUAAGCCUGAGCACAUUUGCUCUUUUGAAGGUUGUUUUCAAAGGGCCCCAAAAGAAAUAAUUAACAAGGAGCAGAACAUUCCUUUUAAAAUAGUUUUUAAAAUUUUCAAAAAUAUGUUUAAGGGAGCCCAUAAAAUUCCUUAAAAAAUAAAGUUGAAAGAUAAUUCUUAAAAAGGAAGUCCCUUCAACAAUCAAAGGAAUGGCUUUGCAUUUUCAAUUACCAAUGAUGUGUCUAAAGUAAUUGUUAAUUUUUAAUAUAAUGGAAACAUGUACCAUUUUUUCUAUUAAUAAUGAAUGCAAAUAAUCAAUCUUUCAGCAGAUGCUCUGCUGAAAACAGCCUUGUGAUUAGUCAUGAGGACUUCCAACAUAACCGGCAACAUACGACUAACCGACCAGUAGUUUCUAUGUUCCUACUGAGCUACUGAACUGAAGCUCAGUAAAUUCACUGGUCAAGCACAGGGUGGGCAGAGGAAAUCACCCCAAAUUUUGACCUUUGUACGAUCUCUGGUAAGGUCAAUCUGGAUUAUUAGCUUUCAACUGCUCAGGUACCCUCUGAAUCCUAUCAUGAAGUUUGGGCUUCCAGGCUGCCGCCAGGCCCUCAAUUUUUACUUAACCAGCAUGGGAGGGGGGCCAGGUCCUGGCUUCUGUUAAAGUGAACAGAUUUGGGAAAUGGUUAGAUUGAAUCAGAGGGCCUUGGCUGUUUUGUGGCAGCUGAGUACAGUGAAUAGAGGGCAAGGGUUCCUCAAGUGGAAAGGCAUGCUUGCAGAAUCCAGAUAUCCUCAGUACCAUUUAAUGAAUAUUAGCAAGAGAGAAAAUGCACAGCAAAUACCAAUACCUGCAGCAACCUUACAGAGGAUCUGUUAUCAUUCCAUUUAUAUUUAAGAGAACAAGGAUGUCUAAGCAGCUCAAUGCUACACAAUGUACUUGGGGCAAAAAGACAUCUCCACAACUCACCUAUAAGCCACAGCCAAUGUAAGGAAGAUACUUUAAAGAAUAUUUAAUUAACAGCCACACAGAAGGUGCUGUGAACAGGAAUGAAAGGAGCCAAAAGGAAGUUACAGACUCCCCAAAAGCAGUAGUUAUUUCAUUAAAGUUUUGGGAGACUAAGAACUUGUUUUCCUUUAAAAGUAGGCUUAUCUUCAGCAAAACCACAGACAUAAUAUUUCAUAUUAAGUAGCGGAGAUACUGUCACAAAGAAAAUUAAAUGCACCUACCUGCAUGAAGCAUCCAGGCAAGGUGUUUAGUACCAGGAUUACCUUCAUAGGAUAUUGACCUAACCAGCAUCCCAGCACCAAUCAUAGC